rnacentral:rRNA from 1 species
UACGAAGGGUGCAAGCGUUACUCGGAAUUACUGGGCGUAAAGCGUGCGCAGGUGGUUUGUUAAGUCUGCUGUGAAAGCCCCGGGCUCAACCUGGGAAUGGCAGUGGAGGCUGGCAAGCUAGAGUGCGGUAGAGGAUAGUGGAAUUCCCGGUGUAGCGGUGAAAUGCGUAGAGAUCGGGAGGAACACCAGUGGCGAAGGCGGCUCACUGGCCCGUAACUGACGCUGAGGAGCGAAAGCGUGGGGAGCGAACAGG